rnacentral:misc_RNA from 1 species
CAUAGCGUCUCCCCCAUCCCACCAAGUGUGGGGAGGGAGAGGACGAUGGCCUCCCAUGCCUCACCAGUCGUGGAUGGCCUAAAUAAGGAGCCCCGGGUUACUAGAUUCCGCGGCGAUUGGUGGUAUACAAGGCCUGAGCCUAGGAUGCAUCGCGUCGUGGGUCAAGUAGCAUAUGUGGGCUCGUAGGACCCUAUAAGGCACUUU